UACGAAGGGGGCUAGCGUUGCUCGGAAUUACUGGGCGUAAAGGGAGCGUAGGCGGAUAGUUAAGUCAGAGGUGAAAGCCCAGGGCCUCAACCUUGGAAUUGCCUUUGAUACUGGCUAUCUUGAGUAUGGGAGAGGUAAGCGGAACUCCGAGUGUAGAGGUGAAAUUCGUAGAUAUUCGGAAGAACACCGGUGGCGAAGGCGGCCCACUGGAUCGGUACUGACGCUGAGGUGCGAAAGCGUGGGGAGCGAACGGG
rnacentral:rRNA from 1 species